rnacentral:tRNA from 1 species
UGUCUUGUAGUAUAUAACCCAAUUACUGUAAACUGCAACUUUACCAAAGCAACAGCCAAGGCAU